GCUUCAGUGGUUUAGUGGUAAAAUCCAUCGUUGCCAUCGAUGGGCCCCGUGUUCGAUUCACGGCUGAUGCA
rnacentral:tRNA from 3 species